CUUGGUUAUUUAGAGGAAGGAGAAGUCGUAACAAGGUAUCCGUAGGUGAACCUGCGGAUGGAUCAUUUCCACUAUUAAAACAAAAAAAGAGAAGGGAGAUUUUGUCCAAGUGCGAAUGAAAGUUUGCACUAGAUGAUUUCAAACCUCUCUUUUUUUAACUUUAACAAACCUUUUAACGUGAAUUGUUAUUGUACAAAACAUUUUUAUAAACGUAGUUUUAAGUUUUGAGUUUUAAUGAUUCAAAAUGAAAAACAAACGUUAAACAAAUUAGAAUUGGUUUUUACAAUUAAAAAAAAGUAACCAAAAACAACUCUUAACAACGGAUGUCUUGGUUCUC
rnacentral:misc_RNA from 1 species